rnacentral:rRNA from 1 species
AGUGAACGCUGGCGGUAGGCCUAACACAUGCAAGUCGAACGGCAGCACAGUAAGAGCUUGCUCUUACGGGUGGCGAGUGGCGGACGGGUGAGGAAUACAGCGGAAUCUACUUUUUCGUGGGGGAUAACGUAGGGAAACUUACGCUAAUACCGCAUACGACCUACGGGUGAAAGCAGGGGAUCUUCGGACCUUGCGCGAUUGAAUGAGCCGAUGUCGGAUUAGCUAGUUGGCGGGGUAAAGGCCCACCAAGGCGACGAUCCGUAGCUGGUCUGAGAGGAUGAGCAGCCACACUGGAACUGAGAAACGGUCCAGACUCCUACGGGAGGCAGCAGUGGGGAAUAUUGGACAAUGGGCGCAAGCCUGAUCCAGCCAUACCGCGUGGGUGAAGAGGGCCUUCGGGUUGUAAAGCCCUUUUGUUGGGAAAGAAAAGCAGCAGGUUAAUACCCCGCUGUUCUGACGGUACCCAAAGAAUAAGCACCGGCUAACUUCGUG